rnacentral:lncRNA from 1 species
CUGAGGUAUAGGAGCCUGAUGCUCCAGCUGAGGCGUGACAACCUGUUGAUCCCACUGAGGCGUGGGAGCCCGAUAAUCUGGCGGAGGAGCAGCCUGACGAGCCGGCUGGGCGUAAAAACCUGACGAUCUGGCUGAGGCCUGACUUGGGAUGAAACCUCUCGAGCCAUCUAGGGCAUGGAAGCCCGACGAGCUGGCUUAGGCACCCCCAGUUCUAUUGGCAGCGGACCCCGGAACCACCACCAACCGGAAAGCCAGCACUCCCCGAUGCUUCGUUUGAUGGCUGCUGCAUUCUAUAAGGACCGACGCUGGAGAUGAGAAGCAGGUACGGGGAGUUGAACAUUUAAUGCGGAACAGACAGUUAACAAGCGAUAUCAAUGAAGGUAUCAAGAGACAGGGCAGCUCUGCACUCUCAAGCAAAUCCAUUCAAAAAGCAUCCCAUGACAUCCUUUGAGGGCAGUGAGGGG